CUGGCGUCUUCGGCGUCCGCGUUGUAAUCUCGAGACGUGUUUUCCGUGCGGCUCUAUGGACAAGUCCCUUGGAACAGGGCAUCGUAGAGGGUGAAAAUCCCGUACUUGCCAUGGAAGUACCGUGCUUUGUGAUACACGCUCCAAGAGUCGAGUAGUUUGGGAUUGCUGCUCAAAGUGGGUGGUAGACUCCAUCUAAAGCUAAAUAUCGGGGAGAGACCGAUAGCGAACAAGUACCGUGAGGGAAAGAUGAAAAGCACUUUGGAAAGAGAGUUAAAAGUACGUGAAAUUGUCGAAAGGGAAGCACUUGAAGUCAGCCAUGCUGCUUGAGACUCAGCCUGGCUUUUGCUUGGUGUAUUUCUCGGUAGCAAGCCAGCAUUGGUUUGUGUCGUCGGAGAAGCGUAUGGGGAAUGUGGCAUCCUCGGAUGUGUUAUAGCCCUGUGCAGGAUACGACGACGUAGACCAAGGAACGCAGUGUGCCCUCUGGG
rnacentral:rRNA from 1 species